rnacentral:rRNA from 1 species
CGCCCUUAGAGUUUGAUCAUGGCUCAGGACGAACGCUGGCGGCGUGCCUAAUACAUGCAAGUUGAGCGUUGGUACUUGUACCAAGAGCAGCGAACGGGUGAGUAACGCGUGGGGAAUCUGCCUUUGAGCGGGGGACAACAUUUGGAAACGAAUGCUAAUACCGCAUAAAAACUUAACACAAGUUUAAGUUGAAAGAUGAUUGCAUCACUCAAAGAUGAUCCCGCGUUGUAUUAGCUAGUUGGUGAGGUAAAGGCUCACCAAGGCGAUGAUACAUAGCCGACCUGAGAGGGUGAUCGGCCACAUUGGGACUGAGACACGGCCCAAACUCCUACGGGAGGCAGCAGUAGGGAAUCUUCGGCAAUGGACGAAAGUCUGACCGAGCAACGCCGCGUGAGUGAAGAAGGUUUUCGGAUCGUAAAACUCUGUUGGUAGAGAAGAACGUUGGUGAGGAAACUCAUCAAGUGACGGUAACUACCCAGAAAGGGACGGCUAACUACGUGCCAGCAGCCGCGGUAAUACGUAGGUCCCGAGCGUUGUCCGGAUUUAUUGGGCGUAAAGCGAGCGCAGUGGUUUAUUAAGUCUGGUGUAAAAGGCAGUGGCUCAACCAUUGUAUGCAUUGGAAACUGGUAGACUUGAGUGCAGGAGAGGAGAGUGGAAUUCCAUGUGUAGCGGUGAAAUGCGUAGAUAUAUGGAGGAACACCGGUGGCGAAAGCGGCUCUCUGGCCUGUACUGACACUGAGGCUCGAAGCGUGGGGAGCA